AAGAAAUGUAUAAAAAUUAUUUAUUUAAAUAAUCUGACAAAUAUGCAUUUGUAUUAUACAGUAUAAAAACCAGUGGUCCAUUGAGUUCCCUCAAGCUGUGUUUAGAGCCCUGGAGCAUGUCCAAAAUAUACAAAUACAGUCACAGGCCAUAAUUCCACACGUGUGGAUCUAACAUGUACAGUACAGUAAAUCCUGUACAUAAGUAUACAUGGAUUAUGUUUAAGUUCUGAGCCUUUCACUGUCACCAAACUAAACAAGUAAUAGACAUUGAGAUUUGUCUAAACAAUGCAGUGAUGCUGCAGAUUAUGCAAGAUGUUUUGCGAGGUUUGGCAGAGACCCAGAAGUUGCACGAAUGUUUACUUGUCACGUCAUCAUCAUGGGAAUUCUCUGGACCAAGCCCUGGUUUACUCACAUCCAUCCAGUAUUUAAGGCACAGUACCACAGAUGCCAGAUUAAAUACAGACAGUGACAUUAACUGACAAGUGACACUAACUGGACAAGAACAUCUGCUCAAGGUGAGCCAUUCAUCUCUUAUUUAUGCUACAUUUAUGGCUUUUAAUCUGUCUUUAUUAUUGGUAACUAAAUAAUAAAUGAAUAGAAGUAAGCAAAACGUAAAAAAACACUUUUUAACUUCACAAGAUAAUAAUAGUUUCACAUUAUGUUCUUUUGUAGCUUUUGAUUUGCAGGAUGAAGACUUUACAUGCAAUGCUACUGAUGAUGUUUAUUGCAUCAGUCUUUUCAAAACCAUCUCGUCUGCACAAAAGAUCUGAUUCAUCAGACUCUGAGGGUUCGGAGGAAAAUGAUUCACGCGGAGGAAUCAACGAGGAUUCACAGUCGGUCGAGAAUUCUGACCAGUCUAAUGAUUCUUCUGAGGAAGUUGUGCUGAACACAAUCUCUCCAAUUCGCACAACAAGAUGAAUCAUCAGGACAGAAGACAUCACGCACCGUGUUACUGUGGAUCUGACAACUGAUAUAAUGAGCAAUAAUUAUAAUACCAAUAUAAAAUCUUGCAAUACUACUAAAAAAAAAAAAAAAAAAAUGUUUAAUGGUGUACAAUUCAUUAUGGUUUCCACUAAUGAUACUGAUUGACGUAACUUUAAACUUUAAAAUUAAUUACUUUUAUAUUCAGAAUAAAAAAUCUUUCAAAUGCA
ensembl:lncRNA